UUUCCAGUCUGUGUCACAAAAACUAAUGUUAUCUGGCUAAUUCAGGGUCAUCUUCGGGAGAUCCCAGGGUGUUUUCUGAAGUUCAGGUCUAUCCUCCCAUAAACAUCACGGGAGAGCAGAUGAAUGCCCUUGGAAGCAAUUCUCUGGACAGUUAUGAGGUCUCCGGAGUUGUUGUUACCUCUCAGGGUGCAAAUCCUCCCAAGCAGCCCCGAGGCCCAGGAAGAGAUCAAGUGCUUGUGAAUAAAUUGCUUCUCCACUCA